rnacentral:other from 1 species
AAUUACCUGCCCUGCAGGUGAUAGGUGAACAUGUUGAUCCGGCAAAUUAGAUCUUUAGGGAGCCAGCGUAUGCUGCUGGUGUGCAUGUUGCCCUUGUGGCAGAAGCCUGAAGGCAGCUUUAUGGCACCCACCUAUCCAAUGGGCGGAUCUGAUUCUUCACUUACACGGCAGGGCGGGACCUUA